CGGACGGGUGAGUAACGCGUGGGUGACCUGCCCCAUACCGGGGGAUAACAGCUGGAAACGGCUGCUAAUACCGCAUAAGCGCACAGAGCUGCAUGGCUCGGUGUGAGAAACUCCGGUGGUAUGGGAUGGGCCCGCGUCUGAUUAGGCAGUUGGCGGGGUAACGGCCCACCAAACCGACGAUCAGUAGCCGGCCUGAGAGGGCGACCGGCCACAUUGGGACUGAGACACGGCCCAA
rnacentral:rRNA from 1 species